rnacentral:tRNA from 1 species
GGGCUGUUAGCUCAGUUGGUUUAGAGCACUACCUUGACAGGGUAGGGGUCACUGGUUCGAAUCCAGUACAGCUCA